CCAUUGCAAGGGUAGUGUAAAAAUCAUACAAACAACAAGUACAGUUGGUUAUAUUAGCAAAUAAUGAUUUUGAGCAGGAACAAUUUAGUCAUAUAAUUUUGCAAGUGGGUGGGGGCUGUGGGGGGAACCAGUUUCCUCCUCUUUUUCCUUUCCUUUGGGAAUCAUUUUCCCUUCCUUUGCCAUCCCAAACACAAGAAAACACAAGAAAGGAAACACUUUCCUUUUCCAAUACCCAGAUUCCGCGAAACAAACAUAGCCUUAGGCCACGUUUGGUUUGCGGAAAGGAAAGGAAAUGAAGGAAAGUAUCCCUUCAUACGGCAUGCUUCAUUUUGAACAGUGGGUGAAAGCAAUAACAGUGGCCCCUGAAUCGCUUACUUUUUGAAUGAUUGAAAGAUAUUUCACCGAAACUGCUAGGAAAUUUCCUCUGCACUAGCUUUUUACUUCUGACUACUUUCCUGGAAAAUGUAUGCAUAGUUUCUUGUUAGUGUUCAUUCAUUCAGGGGAAGAAUAGAAGUUUAUUCAAAAUAGAUGAACCAAGUUGCUGAGGGCAGAAAGUGAGCUGGAAAACUGAUUGGUAAGUGUUUAUUGAUAUCUUUACUCAUCCAAGUUCUAACAAGGUAAGUAAAACUACUAAGAACAAUAGUCUUGCUCUGCAAUUACUUAUCUGUUUUGCAUUCUGAAUCUUUAUAUUCAUCGAAAGAUUUGCUUCUUUCGACUUGUUGAUUUUCAGGAUGGCUGCUGCUUCUUCUUGCUCUAAUAUCAUCCCUUGGGAGAAGUAUGAUGUAUUUCUUAAUUUCAGAGAUGAGGACACCCGGAAUAAUUUUACCAACCAUCUUUAUGAGGCUUUAUGUCGGAACAAAAUCUAAACUUACAAAGAAGAUGAGGAACUGGAGAGAGGAGAUGAAAUCUAAGCUGCCCUGCUCAAAGCAAUCAGCGAAUUGAAGCUCUCAGUUAUCAUUUCUCCAAAAACUAAGCUUCUUCUACAUGGUGCUUGGAUGAACUAGUGCACAUACUCCAAUGCAGAGAAAAACAGUUUGUUAUACCCAUCUUCUACCGCAUAGAUCCAUCAUAUGUACACAAAAAAUCGGGGAGUUAUGCAGAGGCAUUUGUUAAACACGAGGAACGUUUCGAGGACAAUCAGGACAAGGUACUCAGGUGGAGACAUGCUUUGACAACAGCAGCCAAUAUAUCUUGGUUUGAUUCCCAAACUAUUAGGGUCGAGUCUAAAUUAGUUAAGACUGUGGUCGAUGACAUUUUGGAAAAAUUGAACCGCGAAUCGUCAAGUUGUUUAGAUGGCAAGGUUGGAAUAAAAAAAAUUGAUUCAACAAGUUGAAUCGUUAUUAUGCAUUGACUCACUGGAUGUCCAGACUCUAGGUAUUUGGGGUAUGGGUGGUGUCGGUAAGACCACCAUUGCUGAGGUUGUAUUUGGUCGUCUCUCUUCUCAAUUUGAAGCUCGCUGCUUUAUUGCAAAUGUUAGCGAAUCAGAAGCGAAACAUGGACUAAAUGAUUUGCGGAAUCAGAUUCUUCGUGAACUACUGCAGAAAGAAAAUCUAUGUAUGGCCACUUCAUAUAUUAUAUCAAAUUUUGAACAAGAGAGGCUUCGCCGUACAAAGGCCCUCAUUGUUCUUGAUGGUGUGAGUGCUUUCCGCCAAAUACAAGUUUUAGUUGGAGGUGACAAUAUGUUUGGCCUUGGAAGUAGAAUCCUUGUAUCAACCAGAAAUAAACGCAUAUUUGGGAACCUUGUUAAUGAUGAUAAAAUAUAUGAGGUUAAGGAAUUAGACGUUGAUGAAGCUCUUGAGCUCUUUUAUUUGAGAA